CCUACGGGUGGCAGCAGUGAGGAAUAUUGGUCAAUGGCCGGAAGGCUGAACCAGCCAAGUCGCGUGAAGGACGAAGGUGCCAAGCAUUGUAAACUUCUUUUGUCAAGGGACAAAAUCAGGCUCGAGAGCCUGACCGAGGGUACCUGAAGAAAAAGCAUCGGCUAACUCCGUGCCAGCAGCCGCGGUAAUACGGAGGAUGCGAGCGUUAUCCGGAUUUAUUGGGUUUAAAGGGUGCGUAGGCGGACGGUUAAGUCAGCGGUAAAAUCCCGGGGCUCAACCCCGCGUAGCCGUUGAAACUGGGUGUCUUGAGAUCGCGAGGGGUAUGCGGAAUGCGCGGUGUAGCGGUGAAAUGCUUAGAUAUCGCGCAGAACUCCGAUUGCGAAGGCAGCAUACCGGCGGCGAUCUGACGCUGAGGCACGAAAGCGUGGGUAUCGAACAGGAUUAGAUACCCCAGUAGUC
rnacentral:rRNA from 1 species